rnacentral:rRNA from 1 species
GCCAGACUCCUACGGGAGGCAGCAGUAGGGAAUAUUGCACAAUGGGGGAAACCCUGAUGCAGCGACGCCGCGUGGGUGAAGAAGUAUUUCGGUAUGUAAAGCCCUAUCAGCAGGGAAGAAGAAUGACGGUACCUGACUAAGAAGCACCGGCUAAAUACGUGCCAGCAGCCGCGGUAAUACGGAGGGUGCAAGCGUUGUCCGGAAUCAUUGGGCGUAAAGAGUUCGUAGGUGGCAUAUUAAGUCUGGUGUUAAAUGCAGAAGCUCAACUUCUGUUCGGCACUGGAUACUGGUAAGCUUGAAUGCGGUAGAGGUAAAGGGAAUUCCUGGUGUAGCGGUGAAAUGCGUAGAUAUCAGGAGGAACAUCGGUGGCGUAAGCGCUUUACUGGGCCGUAAUUGACACUGAGGAACGAAAGCCGGGGUAGCAAAUGGGAUUAGAUACCCUAGUA